UACGUAGGGUGCGAGCGUUAAUCGGAAUUACUGGGCGUAAAGUGUGCGCAGGCGGCCGAGCAAGUCGAGUGUGAAAGCCCCGAGCUUAACUUGGGAACUGCGCUUGUUACUGGCAAGCUGGAGUGUGGCAGAGGGGGGUGGAAUUCCACGUGUAGCAGUGAAAUGCGUAGAGAUGUGGAGGAACACCGAUGUCGAAGGCAGCCCCCUGGGCUAACACUGACACUCAUACACGAAA
rnacentral:rRNA from 1 species